AUUGAACGCUGGCGGCAGGCCUAACACAUGCAAGUCGAACGAGUGGCGGACGGGUGAGUAAUGUCUGGGAAACUGCCUGAUGGAUGGGGAUAACUAAUAGAACAGGUAGCUAAUACCUCAUAACAGCGGUUGUACCCAGAUGGGAUUAGCUAGUAGGUGGGGUAAAGGCUCUACUAGGCUACGCUCCCUAGCUGGUUGGAGAGGAUGACCAGCAACAAUGGAACGACGACACGGUCCAGACUCCUACGGUGGGCAGCAGUGGGGAAUAUUGCACAAUGGGCGCAAGCCUUAUGCAGCAAUGCGGCGUGUAUGAAGAGGGUCUUCGGGUUGUAAAGUACUGUCAGCGGGGAGGCGUUACCCGCAGAGGAAGCACCGGCUAACUACGUGCCAGCAGCCGCGGUAAUAC
rnacentral:rRNA from 1 species